UACGGGGGGGGCAAGCGUUGUUCGGAAUUACUGGGCGUAAAGGGCUCGUAGGCGGCCAACUAAGUCAGACGUGAAAUCCCUCGGCUUAACCGGGGAACUGCGUCUGAUACUGGAUGGCUUGAGUUUGGGAGGGGGAUGCGGAAUUCCAGGUGUAGCGGUGAAAUGCGCAGAUAUCAGGAGGAACACCGGUGGCGAAGGCGGUUCUCUGGGCAUUACCUGACGCUGAGGAGCGAAAGUGUGGGGAGCGAACAGG
rnacentral:rRNA from 1 species